rnacentral:rRNA from 1 species
ACGAACGCUGGCGGCGUGCUUAACACAUGCAAGUCGAACGGAAAGGCCCUGCUUUUGUGGGGUGCUCGAGUGGCGAACGGGUGAGUAACACGUGAGUAACCUGCCCUUGACUUUGGGAUAACUUCAGGAAACUGGGGCUAAUACCGGAUAGGAGCUCCUGCUGCAUGGUGGGGGUUGGAAAGUUUCGGCGGUUGGGGAUGGACUCGCGGCUUAUCAGCUUGUUGGUGGGGUAGUGGCUUACCAAGGCUUUGACGGGUAGCCGGCCUGAGAGGGUGACCGGCCACAUUGGGACUGAGAUACGGCCCAGACUCCUACGGGAGGCAGCAGUGGGGAAUAUUGCACAAUGGGCGGAAGCCUGAUGCGGCAACGCCGCGUGCGGGAUGACGGCCUUCGGGUUGUAAACCGCUUUCGCCUGUGACGAAGUGUGAGUGGCGGUAAUGGGUAAAGAAGCACCGGCUAACUACGUG